rnacentral:rRNA from 1 species
CCUAUGGGGGGCAGCAGGCGCGAAACCUCCGCAAUGUGAGAAAUCGCGACGGGGGGAUCCCAAGUGCCAUUCUUAACGGGAUGGCUUUUCAUUAGUGUAAAGAGCUUUUGGAAUAAGAGCUGGGCAAGACCGGUGCCAGCCGCCGCGGUAACACCGGCAGCUCUAGUGGUAGCAGUUUUUAUUGGGCCUAAAGCGUCCGUAGCCGGUUUAAUAAGUCUCUGGUGAAAUCCUGCAGCUUAACUGUGGGAAUUGCUGGAGAUACUAUUAGACUUGAGAUCGGGAGAGGUUAGAGGUACUCCCAGGGUAGAGGUGAAAUUCUGUAAUCCUGGGAGGACCGCCUGUUGCGAAGGCGUCUGACUGGAACGAUUCUGACGGUGAGGGACGAAAGCUAGGGGCGCGAACCGGAUUAGAUACCCCCGUAGUCC